AAAAAUUAAACAAAAAUAAAACUAAAAAGAGAAAUAAUAAGAAAUAAAAUUUAAUAAGAAACAAAAAUAACAAAUUAGAAAAAAAAAAUUAUAAUUGAAAAAAAAAAUUAAACGUUGCACAAGCAUCGUAAAAAACUUGAUGAAUUCUUGGCAAGUGUAUCGAUAGUUUCAUAGUAAUAAAAUAUUGAGUUCAAAGCGGAAAUAACAAAGAGUUCAAACAGAAUUAUGAAAGCGGUCAGAUUGUGUCUCCCCUAUUUAUUUAUUGUUGAUGUUUGAUGUCUU
rnacentral:lncRNA from 1 species